CGCCGCGGCCCGGGGCCUCGGCUGUGCCCCGCCAGCGCCCGCGAUCCGCCUCCAGGCCAGGCCCCGCGCCGCCGUGCCCUCCGGCCCCUGGCGGCUCCUGUCCGUAUCGCCGGGGCGCUCCGGCGAAGGCGGGCGCAACCUCGCUGCUCUCCGCGCGUCCCGACCCGGGCGGUCAGCGCGCCGCGCCGGGGAAGCGCAAGGGCGCUCGGGGCGCUCCGCUGGAGAAAACAGACCUUGUCCUGCCCACGGAAGGAAACGGGGGCGAAGGCUGCAGCACGAAAAGCGCAGGAGAUCUUGCAGGAUCGUUGUCCACAAGUGAAGGUUGCAUGUCCUAGAAAUUUCAAUGCCACCUACAGAUGGAUAUCCUAUGGGCAGUUUCCUCUUCUCCAUUUGCCCUGGAAAUGGAAAGAAUAUGAAAGGAGGAACCUUUUGAGAACCCAUCAGGCAGUAUAUUUACAAUUCUUCUCUGUCACCUAAAGUGACCUCAAAGAGUAUGUCCUUGAAAAGAACCUAAGAAAGUUUUGUUUUGAGAGAGGAAGAUGCAGAGGGAGAUGACAUCUCAUUUUGCACACCCUUUAAGAAGUCAAGAAUUUUUUCUAAUGAAAAGUGUUUUAUAAAUAACACAACAAAUAUUUCACGACACAUCGAUGAAAGUUUUGCCCCUACAUUAAUAACAAUGUUAGAGUUAUUUGUAUGACUAAUAUCAAACUGAUUCCAUUACGUCUUUGCUGUCUCUGAUAAAUGAAUUUUUAAAAUUAAUUUGUACGUAGCAGGCUUCUGCUUGGAUCAAUUCUUAGAUAAUGCUGGCCAACAUUCUUAUUAAUGCUCUAAAAAUUCAGACUCACUGAUGAUAUACAUUUGUAGGUGGCAGAAAUUUAGAGCAGUAAGUAAUGAUGAUGCCAAUCACUACGAAAGAAAGUAGCAGAGUCAUAACAAGAUUUAAUGUCUGGAAAUUGACAACAGAACAAGCCAAAUGGAAAUGCCAUCUAAAGCAAUUGCAGCACACAGGAGCAGAUGCAGCAACUUCUCCGAUGGCAAAGCACAUUUGGAGAGGACUGAGAUGCCCUUGGCUUCAACUGAAAACAUAAUCAUCUCAACAAGAGGUAAUGCCAAGAAAAGAUCGAUACAGUGAUGAAUGGCUGCUGGCUCAAAACCAAGGUGGUAUUUGAUAACUACUUGGAACACUUUACAAAGCAUUUUCCAUGGUGUGGGAUCUGAUUUGUCUUUCUGCAUAGGGAACUGAGUUGACUUAUCAGUAAAAAAUGUGUUUGUCAGCCUCGGCUAACGAGAAGCAUUGCACCUUCUGUCCUGGUUAGGCUUCAGCCUUUCAAUGAUUUCAGUAGUGUACUCUUGAAAGAAGUACUUCAGAUACCAACACUGAAAUUCACUGGGGAAGUGAGGAAAAACUUCAGCCUUUUUUUUACUGUUAACACCAGACAAGUCUAGCAGUUAGACCUGUGUCAUAAGAUUGUACAUGCCUGGAAGCUCUGUCCUGCACAGAAUGCAAGGGCUUGAUUGCAAAAGUAUACUGUGUCUGCGCUCUAAUCAUUCCAUUCAUCCCAGUUAGCUUCCAUGGCAAAUUUCAGUGCCAGUGCUAUCAACCAUGUUCGCCUCCAGAUCAGGGUUCUUUAGAGCUGAAGUGCUCUCAGUCGAAUAGAAUUGUCUAAGGAACAAGCCUAAGAAGAGAUUAGACUUGUCUGAAUUGCUAAAAGAAUGUUGCUCUGGAUAAUAUCUUAACUAGCCUACAGUGAUCGAGGAUUAUGCAACUAAUGAGUAAAAUGAAUUUAAACAAGA